rnacentral:rRNA from 1 species
AGUGAACGCUGGCGGCGUGCUUAACACUUGCAAGUCGAACGAGAACGGAUUAUAGCUUGCUAUAAUUGUCAGCUAAGUGGCGCACGGGUGAGUAAUGUAUAGGUAAUAUGCCUCUUACUAAGGGAUAACAAUUGGAAACGAUUGCUAAUACCUUAUAUUCCUUUUUAUCAAAAGAUAAAAAGGGAAAGAUUUAUUGGUAAGAGAUUAGCCUGUAUUGUAUCAGUUAGUUGGUGGGGUAAUGGCCUACCAAGACGAUGACGCAUAACUGGUUUGAGAGGAUGAUCAGUAACACUGGAACUGAGACACGGUCCAGACUCCUACGGGAGGCAGCAGUGGGGAAUAUUGCACAAUGGACGAAAGUCUGAUGCAGCAACGCCGCGUGGAGGAUGACACAUUUCGGUGCGUAAACUCCUUUUAUAUGAGAAGAUAAUGACGGUAUUAUAUGAAUAAGCACCGGCUAACUCCGUGCCAGCAGCCGCCGUAA